CGGCGUGCCUAAUACAUGCAAGUCGAGCGGACAGAUGGGAGCUUGCUCCCUGAUGUUAGCGGCGGACGGGUGAGUAACACGUGGGUAACCUGCCUGUAAGACUGGGAUAACUCCGGGAAACCGGGGCUAAUACCGGAUGCUUGUUUGAACCGCAUGGUUCAAACAUAAAAGGUGGCUUCGGCUACCACUUACAGAUGGACCCGCGGCGCAUUAGCUAGUUGGUGAGGUAAUGGCUCACCAAGGCAACGAUGCGUAGCCGACCUGAGAGGGUGAUCGGCCACACUGGGACUGAGACACGGCCCAGACUCCUACGGGAGGCAGCAGUAGGGAAUCUUCCGCAAUGGACGAAAGUCUGACGGAGCAACGCCGCGUGAGUGAUGAAGGUUUUCGGAUCGUAAAGCUCUGUUGUUAGGGAAGAACAAGUACCGUUCGAAUAGGGCGGUACCUUGACGGUACCUAACCAGAAAGCCACGGCUAACUACGUGCCAGCAGCCGCGGUAAUACGUAGGUGGCAAGCGUUGUCCGGAAUUAUUGGGCGUAAAGGGCUCGCAGGCGGUUUCUUAAGUCUGAUGUGAAAGCCCCCGGCUCAACCGGGGAGGGUCAUUGGAAACUGGGGGAACUUGAGUGCAGAAGAGGAGAGUGGAAUUCCACGUGUAGCGGUGAAAUGCGUAGAGAUGUGGAGGAACACCAGUGGCGAAAGCGACUCUCUGGUCUGUAA
rnacentral:rRNA from 1 species